rnacentral:lncRNA from 1 species
UAUGAAUGUGUUGAAUGUGGGAAAAAAUAUACACAUUCAUGUACUCUUCAGAAACACAUGCGGAUUCACAGUGGAAUCAAACCUCAUGAAUGUGUUGAAUGUGGGAAAAGAUUUACACAUUCAAGUAAUUUGCAGACACACAUGAGGAUUCACAGUGGAAUCAAGCCUUAUGAAUGUGUUGAAUGUGGGAAAAAAUUUACACAAUUAAGUAAUUUGCAGACACACAUGAGGAUUCACAGUGGAAUCAAGCCCUAUGAAUGUGUUGAAUGUGGGAAAAAAUUUAUACAAUCAAGUAAUUUGCAGAGACACAUGAGGAUUCACAGAUGAUUCAGUUGAUGAGGUCUACACUGCACAUGGUGCUAGAAGACCAAAUUAUUUUAACUUUGGAAGAGGAACGAGUGGUUAUCAAGGGUUUAGGAACAGUCAUGGAUAUAAUCGUGGUGGUAAUAAUGCGUGCUUUACAGGAAGGAGAAAGGAUCAAAGGGACAUGAAUAUGACUGGAAGAGAUGGUCGCUCACUUGGGUGUUUGUUUGCGGUUCCUAUCGACAUUUAGUUCGUGACUGUCCACUUAAGUUUGAAAAGACAGCAAUGAUGGUAGAAGAGGUAGAGGAUGUUGAACUUGUAAACAUUGUGUUGUAUACAGGAGGUUUGAAAGACAAUAUGAGAACUCUAAGUAAAGAAGCACAACAUGCCAUAGUACUGGAUUCUGCAUGCUCGAGCACUGUUUGUGGGCAGGAAUGGAUGGACAUACCUAAUGACAUUGGAAUAAGAACAGAUGAAACAAGUGAAAUCACAGCCAGGGGAAAAGGUUUUCAAGUUUGGUGGAGUAAACACCAUAACAUCCACAGAGUAAAGAUGGAAGUUGAAGCAAUCCACAGAAUGUUUUCUCUGUCACUGAAACAAAUGCAAAAGGGGUUUGCUGAAAACAGGAGAUCUAACAAGAAUAUGUUUUAUUGACACCCGGAAACUGGUGAUCUCAUGAAAGAACCCAUCAUUGGAACCUUGAAAUAAGUGGUCUCAAGAAAGAACCCGUUAUUGGAACCUUGAAAUAGGUGGUCUUAUGAAAGAACCUGUUAUUGAAACCCUGGAAACAGAUGGUUUGGUGAACCUGAAAACCAUAGUAGUCCAACAAUGCAGUCUCAUAAACAUGUUGUGAGAGCUCGGAAACAUUUUCUAAAUCGGGUGACCUUAAAAGGCACAAGCUCUGUAUACAUUCAGACAAUCUUCAGAAACACAUGAAGACUCACAGUGGAAUGAAGCCUCAUAAGUGCAUUGUGUGUGAGAAAACAUUUACACAAUCAGUUCAUCUGCAGGCACACAUGAAGAUUCACAGUGGAAUCAAGUCUUAUGAAUGUGUUGAAUGUGGCAAAA